rnacentral:misc_RNA from 1 species
AUCCCAUCCAUCCCACCACACCCCUUGAUGUUAUCUCAUAUGCAUAGUCUGUUUAACAGAUUCUAGAUUUAGAAGUUAUUAUCCCAUGGUUUAAUGUUACUAUUGGUCAUUGUCAAACGAAUCAUAUUCUGCUUCUAAGGUGCUGUUCUUGCAUUUUCAUUUUGUUAUUCUUUCCAGAAUACAGGCUUCUUAGCACUGAUAUUAUUUGUAUCCAUGGU